rnacentral:piRNA from 1 species
UUUGAGCCAUAUAAAUCUAUUACCUA